AAGAUAAGACAGUGUAAGGCAGUGUUCGGAAGGAGUUAGGCAACUUGCCAGUGUUGGCACAUUAGUUACCCUCAACACGUUAAAGCAAAGGUCAGGGCAGGAUUUAUGUGGAGACUGAGAGGAAAGCAGAAGCAGGUGUGACAACAAAAGAACAGAAAAAGAAAGAAAUCCCUCAAAAAGAAAGAGAAAAAGAAGGGAAAAAAAAAAAAAAGCAACAGCAAAGAAGGAAGACUCAGAUAUUCUGUCAGAAACCUGAAUGCUGCAGCAGGAUGCAUGAUUGCUGAUGUCCAGAAUAUCCAAUGUGAUAUAUGACUUGAAGAGGAGCCACAUUUCUUCUGGAAAAGAAAUGAAAUAAAAGGGUAAGUGUUCUUGCCUUCCUGCACACACGCAAAACCUAAGGGCUCCCGGAGGGGAAGAUACAUAAACGAGCAAAUGUUAAUUGCUGAAGAUCUCACUGAUCACCACACAGGUGAUGUGGCUGGGUUGCUAGCGAGGGGAUUUGGGUUUAUACAGGCUUUCUCCUUAGGGAAUGUUUUCCCCAGUUCUUAUCGGUGUUUCCCAGUAAUGAGGCGUGCUGCCAGAAAAGUUCUCCACCAGCCCUACAGACACUCCUGUAAAAUAAAUGUCUCCUGCUGUCCCAGUGGUGUUACAGGACAUAUCCCUUGGGACAGCUAUGUCCCUGUGUUUCCUGAGGUGGUGUUUUUCUAUUUCUCUCACAGAGUGCUGAGCAAAAGGCACCAGGAACCACCACCCACCUCCCAGAGUGCCAUUCCUCAACUUGGGGACAGAACAACCCCAAGUGAGAUAGCAAUUAGCCAUACCACCACCAGCUGAGAAGCACAGAGCUGCCCUUAUUACUGCUCUCCUUGGCGGUGAAUCUUUC
ensembl:lncRNA